AUGGAGGACGGCGACAUCACGGCCAGGGCCAAGCGCAUCGUCGAGCUCAAGAGAGAUGGGCGCAUCGCGGCGGCGCUGGAGAAGGCCGAAGCCCUCGCCGCGGAGCACCCUAGGUCCCUCACCGCCGCCUGCCUCCUGGGGGACCUCCACUAUUCCGUCGCCAUCGGCGCCCGCGCGGCUGCGGCGGGCUCGGAGAAGGAGCCGGCCGACGCGGAGUCGCACCUCCGUCAAGGUCGCGACGCGCUCUUGACGGCGAAGUCGCUCGCCCCCGACAACGCCGACAUCGCAGUCGCGUUAGCUGACCUCCUCGCCGAGUCGUCGAUGUACCUCGAGGCAGAGGCCGAGCUGCGGAGGCUCAUGGACGUCGCCAAGAGCGACGACGUUGCUGCAAAGCGCAAGCUGCAGGCGCUGCAGGCGCUGAAGGAAGCAAGGGAUCUCGCCAUGCGCUUCCCGGGCUCGGCGCGUGCGCGGUUAUUGGGCCCCUUCCUAGAGCUCGAGUAUAUGCUUGCCGUUUCCCGGGAGCAUAAGGAUCCUUCCUGGAGCAAUGGCGUGGAACGCCUUGUCUGCGAUGCAGUAGGAGCAGCCAAGGAAUUCCCCAAUUCUACCGCUGCUGCUUUGUUUCAGGCGCGACUUCUGUUCGUUUGUGGCAAUCACAUUGAUGCAGAGGGCGAGUGCCACCGAGCCCUUGCACUGCAGCACCCUACAGAUCCUGUGGAAGAUUGCAUUCCGACUGGAUCCAUCAGAGGAGAGGAUCCUCAAAGCAGGUUGAGUUCGGUAACUAGGCUGUUCCGUGAUUUACUUGACAAGAUCCUGCAGUCUGCUGAAUCAUACUGGGAAAACUGUUUGACAUCUGAGAAGAGGCAGAGUUUCUUGUCCGUGAGAAUCGAUGCGCUAGAGAACAAGUGCAAGAUGGUUGAACACUCGUAUGAUUUCAGUGUAUCAAGCGCCUGUAGGUUCUUUAAGGAGCAUAAGUCUUGGAGGUCCUGGGUGUGUCCCCUCUGCAGUGCAAAGCAUACAAGCACUAGAUUGCUCCUAAAGCACAUGGUGAAGAGACAUUCGCGGUCAGUAUUGCGGAGGCUACAGGACAUUGUAGAUCCGACAGUUGAGCCAGAGAGCGAUUGUCUCCUGGAAGGUUUGUUGUUGUGCAAGGACUCGGAGAAUCAUGAUACCAUCUGCUUCAAAGAAAGGGAUGAGAUGUUCAGAUUACUUUUCUUGGAACCGAACCGUGGAGAAGUAGCAAAGCCAGUGGACAAAUUUCAUCAAGACCAGCAGAGCCAAGGAACUCUACUCCUGGAGAACAUCAAGAAGAACAUGGUGAAUUUGCCUACGCAUAAAUCCGCAACAUAUGAGUCAAGUAACCUGCAAGAAAUCAGAGAGCUCUGGCUCCAGUUCCUCGAAUGUGCUGUUCUGGACUAUGGCAAAUCCAUCGUGACACUGGCGCGCUCAUAUCUUUGGGAUGAAUUUAGAAAAUGUAUGGCUGGAGAUAGAGAAGCCCUACGUCAAAAGAUCUCUGCGGAUGACAUUGAGACCACCUUUUCCAGUCACAGUGCUGUUGAUAAAGAGACAAUGAAAGAGGAAGUGCUCUAUCAAACAGGAGAAACACCAACUCUUACUGCUGACCAAGAUACUCGCGACUCCCCAAGUUCAAACUCUCAUGACAUCAAUUUGGUGGAUAUUAUCCUCAGGACAUUAUGGUGCAUGGAGCCUCUCCUUGAUGAAGUUAUGAAGACAAAGCCUAUCUGCUCCAAGCAUGGCCACGGUGAACCAUGUGUCGGUGUCAUCGUUCACAAGAUCUUACACUUGUGGGAGAAGGCAGAAGAUCACCAGCAACAACUGCUCCCUCUAGCCAACACAGUGUGCAGAACCUUGGAGGAUGACAAUUGCUUUGACGAGCGGCAGGACAGAAGCAAGCGUGUAUCUGACAUCACAGUAGCCAUUCUUAAUGGACUACACUUGCCAGAUGUUUGUUUACAACUUGGAAUCAUGUCUGAUACCAUGAGGCCAGAAACAGAAGCUUUUGUUUGCAAGUAUCAUUACCCUCCUGCUAUGAAGCCCAUGAGGCCAAUGGGUUGUGGUUGCAAAACAUGUUCACCUGGACAACUUAAUGCAGAUCCAAGCAAGGUCGAGCACAUAUGCAAACAGUGCAGUUCUGCUGCUCUGAAGGACCCAUACUCAGCUGUUGUCAUACAUUGCUCAAUGAAGAUGGAGGUUCAGCAAUCACUGGCGGAAAUAUGGGAUGAUACUCUUCAAUCUCUGAUGACAUUUGAGUACAACCAUGGCACAAUAUUUUACGGCUUAGCCGCAAUGAUAUGCUAUGUGGACAAUGAGCCCGUUGGCAUUGCUCGAUGUGAAAGUGGAUGGGUUAUGUAUGAUGCACGCAGAGAAAUCAACAGGUGUGAAGUGCCCUGGGAGGAUUUGUUUGCUAUGUGCAGGGACUGCACUCCAGCAAUUCUAUUUUACGAGGUAGUUCAGGUUGCCCUAGACCUGUUCCUGGUUCGUGCGCUCUGUACUCCUUCACCUGAAGAUUGA
rnacentral:rRNA from 1 species